UACGGAGGAUCCGAGCGUUAUCCGGAUUUAUUGGGUUUAAAGGGUGCGUAGGCGGCCUGUUAAGUCAGGGGUGAAAGACGGUAGCUCAACUAUCGCAGUGCCCUUGAUACUGAUGGGCUUGAAUGUACUAGAGGUAGGCGGAAUGUGACAAGUAGCGGUGAGAUGCAUAGAUAUGUCACAGAACACCAAUUGCGAAGGCAGCUUACUAUGGUAUUAUUGACGCUGAGGCACGAAAGCGUGGGGAUCAAACAGG
rnacentral:rRNA from 1 species